UUUCAAGGAAAGCAGGCCAGCAGCUGGGGUAGAAGCUCUGUCGAGACCAUUAACCUGUGCCACAGGACCACUGACUUCACUAGAACCAAAGUGGGGAUAUCACACCACCUACCACUAAUAGUGUAUUUAUGUCAAAUGAGAACUUCACAUGAGCCAACAUUUAUUUUUAAAGGAUGACCUUUCAAACCCCCACAGCAUGCUCACUAUCAUGUUCCAUAUUAGAAACAGAAAUACUCUGAAUCAACUGGCAUAGUAACUCAAAUUGCAACAAGUGACCGCUGAGACAGGCUUUGUAAAAGCUGACUGCAGGGAAAGGACCAGUGCAGAUGCAGGAUAUACUGUUUUUGGGAGAAGGGGUCUCUUAAUAAACCCCAAUAACAAUUUAUGGAUGAGGCAUUUGACCAGGGAUGCCAGCAACAUGGAGGAACUGUCCAUCUACGCCAGUGGUUCCCAACCUUGGAGGAACUUGCGCAGAUCUUCAUAAUUUCCCAAUGUUUGUUUCAAAUGUAUAACACUGUUCCUUAUAUAAUAGUGGAUAACGUUAACUUUUGUCAAUAUUAAGAUGUAUUUUUUUAGCAGUUUAUCCAUAAUCUUUAGUCAACAAUUUCAGUCACUCAUGCAAUUUUAGCCAAUUUCUUUAGCUAUUUAUUUCUACCAUUUAUUUAGUACUUCUGGCUACCUGUUUAAACUUCUGUGCUCGGUUGUUUUUGAACACUCUCACAUAACUUCAAUAUCUAGU